GGAUUGCCUGGGUUUCCAGGGGCUCGAGGUUUCAAAGGUCCAAAAGGGGACAUCUACAUAAUGGAUAUCAAAGGAAAGAAGGGAGCAAUGGGCCCCUGAGGGCCUCCUGGUCAACAGGGAGCCACAGGAAUGAGGGGACAAGAUGGUUUCUCAGGCGCACCUGGCGAUGAAGCCCCAGAGGGGGAUAGCUAUCCAGGGUUUCCUGGUGAGAGAGGCUAUCCAGGAUUCGAUGGGCCUAAAGGGUUCCCCGGGCCCGCUGGUUCCCCAGGUUUGGAUGUCAUAGGUGCUGUGUGACUCAGGGGGCCCCCGGGGGAUGCGGGACCCCCAGGAUUCAGGGGGCCUGUUGGCCCAAAAG